AAAUCCAAGUGUAAAAUAUGCAUGGAGUACUGAUAAGCAUAGUUUAAGCGUUGCAUUUGAUAAUCAUUAGUAAUUUUAAUGUUUUGUCAUUUAGUCUGCAUAUCUCUGGUCUGAACACUUUGACAGCAAUUCUUAAGUUUUUCGACAGGAGCUUAUGUGGCAGAUAUUGCUUGAUCAGAACAUGGAAGUUCCAUGAUUAGAAGAUGUGUUGAUAGGAGACGGAAUUUGUUCAUAAUUACUUGCCAAUACAUUAAGGGGUAUUUUGACAUCUCAGAAAUGAAAUCAUUUAAAUAAAACAUAAUAUAGAUAAAAAAAUUAUAAAUAAAUUAGAAGUUUUUUUUUUUUACUUUAAAAAUAUUAAAUAGUGUGCUUGUCACAAUAUUGAAAAUAAUUUUUAGUACAAACAAU
rnacentral:lncRNA from 1 species